ensembl:lncRNA
UGGCACAUUGCCUCAUAGAGUCAUGAUUGAUGCAUAGGAAGAGAUACAGCUGCCUAAGAUCUAUGUAGACAUAAUAAAAGAUGCAUAUAGUGACUCCUACCUGCAAGUGAUCUGUGGAAAAGACCUCACCAGACCAAUACCACUUUAGGCAGGAAUCAAAACUGGCUGUCCAUGGAGUGCUGUAAACUUUAUCAUUGCAAUAAAUCAAUGGCUAAAAUGGCUCUGUACACAUGCGCCACCCCACAUCCUGUCACCGAACCCAGUCCAGGGUUAUGUUGAUAAUGUGGCCGUCGCAUCCCGAGAUGAAGGCGUGAUUAAAAACAUGUUGUCAUGCACUGCCAGAUUCCUGACAUGGUCUGGCCUACAAGUAAAGCACAGUAAAUGUGCAGUUUUCUAUGAGAGGAGGAGCGGUGGCAACCGUUGGUAUCAAUCAAGGGCCGACCAACCCCCCUCUUUUACCAUCUUAGACCAGCCACUCAGAGUGUAUACUAGACAUGAGACCUACAACUACCUGGGUCACAAGUUUAACAUUGCUGGAGAAUGGAGUCUGCAAGUGGCACAUCAGUUUAUGACCAGACUGGAUCUCAUUGACGUAUCACCUUUAUCCGAGACAUAACUUUUUCUAAAAUUCAAUUUUUGCAAAUGUCCAUAUCCCACAAAAAAUAUUGCGUGAAAUGGACAACAAAACCGUAAACGUGGUUAGAAAAUGGCUUUGUCUCAACAUACAUUCUACAAGAUGUUUUAUCUUACAGAAAAUACAGGACAGGGGGCUUGGAGUUCCAAACUGCAUGUGGGAGUACAUAGCCACUAGGCAGUCUCACCUAAUCAACAUGCUAAACUGUGAUGAUGUCAUCGUGGUGCGAAUGGCCAGAGCAUCCUUGUUGCUAGAUUUAAAAAGACGGAAGUUGCCACACACAUACGGUGGGGAAGACAGCUUCCUGGGUUUUAAAAGAAAGACCAAUGGAAAGCUGGAUGGAUGGGCACAGGGAUUUGAUGUGUCAUCAGACCGGCCUUAAACGACCUAUGCUGGAGGACAGAGCUCUGAGAACAGCCACAAGACAAAACAAAUGAAUGGAGAGGAAGAAUAGAUACUGUGUUGAGAAGAACCAUGUGUGCGCUGUAACAUUCUUUGAAAUGAACAUUGUGAGCAAACAGGAUCCAAAAGUCAUUAUCCAGACCACAGUGCAGCAGAUCACUCUAUAUCUGAGAGGUUUGUACUUCAGAAAGGUUACAGGAUGAAGCACUGCCAGGUAACGCUCAAUACAGAUCAGACACUGAAACAGAGGACGACCAGUGAUGGCGAAUCCUUGAAAAAAAUGUUGUCUUAUCAUGAGUUUUGAAAAGAAAAAUGACAGUAAAUGGAAAAUAGCACUCAGACUGUAAGCAGUCUCACAAACAGAGAGAUUAAGGAUGAAGAACUCUGAUGCAACUCCACUUCCUGUUCCAGUUAUGAUUAGCCAUACAAUAUAGGAGUGCGUUGGAAAACCAAACAGCAAAUUGAAGCAAAACAGAGAACUCUCCAACAUGCCCCAACUGGACAGCCCAAAAGAAACAUUUGUGGAGUUUGUAGAUUCUUCAUGCAUGCUGAAGUUCAGUGUAGAGCUAUUCAUCUUCCCUGUUUUUGUCUUUUCAGCUGAGAAAAACAACAUAUAUUUAGGCUCAUGAAAGGAUCCUGUC